AAAAACACAAUUGAAUAUUCUCAGCACUGUUUGCGCCCUCAAAUGUUUGUUGUAAGACAUUUUGAAUUUUCUCCACUAUUGAAGACUGCAGUUCCUCUCGUUCUGUGGUCAAAUCAUCUUGUAGUACCUUCAAAAUUCGUAGCUGUUGAAGCAGAUUUGUUUUUGCUUCAUCAAAAUCGACAGCUUGCGUGAUCGGUUGUGGAUUAUCAAUUCGUACUUUGGCCACAAAAUUAUCAUCCGCCGUCAUCAGGCAGCCUUCGUUGUGUAAUUUAAUAUUCAAAUCUGCAUGGCAAAGUCGGGCGAAGAAAGCCAAUUGAUCGAUCCUUUUUUUCGUUAAGAAUUUCUUCUUGAUGUACUCUCCAGUGUUGCAAUCGCGAAAGAUUCCGAUUGUAUCAAGACUCUGAAUCGAUACUCCACACUCUUCUUCUAGUGUGAAGGUCUUUUCAACAAUCGGAACUGUUAUGAGCGAAGGUUUAUCGUCCAUUGAUUUAUUUUUAUCAGUUUUAUCUAACCCUUCUGACUGAGUCGUCAUUCUGGAAGGCAGCAAAUCAGUCGUACUAUUUUCCACCUCACUGAAAACUUCGUCACGUUCAAAAUUACACUGACCCUCCUCUCUGUCGGUCAUUUUUCCGACGAUCUGUAACGAUAUAAUCUGGCUAGAUUCACUUCUUAGAACUUUUUCAAACAAAUGUACUCACCUAACCGACAAGAAUGGAUUUUUUAUUUCACCUCAGAAAUAUCUUUUCAUUAGGAAAGGAAGCAGCUUAAUCGAAGUUGAACACAAGAAUCGGAGACUACCGCUUCUCUCACUAAACUUGUGUUUAUCGUCUCACAUUCGAAACACAAAUAAAUCUUGCAUCCUCAGCAUAAAUGCACUGCUUGCUGUUGAUUGUUGAUAUUUCUUGAUUUUAAAUCGAGAACCGACUGAUGUAUUUUUUUUCGUUUCACUAAUCACAGAGUUUAUCCACAGAACAAGUUCGGCAAACCACAGAUCGGUAGAGCUUUUAUUUGUCCCCGAAAUACUACCCGGUAUCGAAAAUCGGGGUAACCAAUUUCGGCCUGAUUCAUUGCUUUGCUUACCUAUCGUAGUACGAGAUACCUACCGAAAAUAGAUUGUAUAGAGCCAAAAUCCCGGAGCUAGCUAAAAGCCUAUCGCAUGACAAGAAUUUUCAUCGUUAUCCUGUACAAUAUAGAAAUAAACGAAAUGGGGGAAAGGAGUCCUUUUCGAGUGCCAAAAUCAAAGAAUGCAGAAUAUCACCAGUGGUGGGCGACGCUAAUCGCUUAUCCGUUAGCUGAAAAAUUUAACUCGAUAAUUGUAAACGCUAAACCCAUAUUAGCGGAACUUUCGCUAAUCGCUAACUUAUUAAAACGUAGAUUGUAAAAUAGUUAUAUUUAUCUGUCUUCUAUCUUUUAUUUUCUAUCUAUUUAUAUAAAAGAUAAGUUUUGUAUGUAUGAAGGUAUGUAUGUUCCAGCACAGACCGAAACAUGGUGACGAGAAGGAGAGGGACAACUAUCAAAGAGGGGUUUUAAUUGAUAAGAAAGUCAGAUCUUUCAGUGCGUUGAAUUUGUACGAUAACUUUCGGUUUCUGAGAAGCAAAACUGUAGAAAACGUUUACAAACCUCCCAACAUUGAUAUUUCCGAAACCAGGAUGACCCUUAGAAACCAGAAAUAAAACGACCAACGACAUUUUUCCGGUUUCAGAAUUUUGUGAAAAUCAAUUUCGCGAUUUCUGCCUUUUGUCAAGCUGUGUAAAAUUGAGUAAAAUGUUCAAAUAAUAUGGCGACCCCUGGUAUCUGACACGCUGUGGAUAGCAGAAAAAAAUAUUCAAAUACUACCUGAUAUUAGGUUUAUAGAACAGAGCUGUCUCCUCAAAACCGAACAUUGGAAGAGAUUCAAAACUUGAGGAAAAUGUGAAGAUAGUCCCAUCAUAAGGAUAUUGUCUGCAUAGAAAAAUAAAACGAGAAGACAAAGCAAGCAUUGAUUUUCACUACCAAAGCCACUGAAAGGAGCACAACAACAACCAUUGAUAUGUCAUGAAUUAGUCUAGAAAAAGUUCAGCAAUUCUUUUGGGAACACAAUAUAACGGA